GAUGAACGCUGGCGGCGUGCCUAAUACAUGCAAGUCGAGCGAACGGACGAGAAGCUUGCUUCUCUGAUGUUAGCGGCGGACGGGUGAGUAACACGUGGAUAACCUACCUAUAAGACUGGGAUAACUUCGGGAAACCGGAGCUAAUACCGGAUAAUAUUUUAAACCGCAUGGUUAAAAAUUGAAAGACGGUCUUGCUGUCACUUAUAGAUGGAUCCGCGCUGCAUUAGCUAGUUGGUAAGGUAACGGCUUACCAAGGCAACGAUGCAUAGCCGACCUGAGAGGGUGAUCGGCCACACUGGAACUGAGACACGGUCCAGACUCCUACGGGAGGCAGCAGUAGGGAAUCUUCCGCAAUGGGCGAAAGCCUGACGGAGCAACGCCGCGUGAGUGAUGAAGGUCUUCGGAUCGUAAAACUCUGUUAUUAGGGAAGAACAUAUGUGUAAGUAACUGUGCACAUCUUGACGGUACCUAAUCAGAAAGCCACGGCUAACUACGUG
rnacentral:rRNA from 1 species